ensembl:lncRNA
CUGCGAAAGAAGGACCUGCUGGCGGAGCUCCGGCCAGGGUCUCCUCCCUCGCAGCUGGGCGAGGCGACUUGGAGGACAGGGUGAAGCUGCAGAAGACCUGGGGUGGGACGGCUAGAGAGGACGCCAAGGACUGGGGAAGGGGAAGUUAGGAGUACCUUACAUCCAAUGCCCACCCGUGCUCCGCAGGGCAAGGGCAGCCGUCGCCUCGGCCGCGUGCACCCAACUCAGGCUGUUCCCAGGGAUUUAGUCUGGGGGGUCAACCCAUGGCGAGAUGUGGUGGCAUUUUACCUCAGAGUGGAGCUGAAGAUGGAUAAACAAGGGAGGAUGGCAUAAUUUAUAACCCAGCACAUGGAUGGAGGAACUGUAAAUUGCAGUCUGGAUGUCCCCGACGCUGUCAAUGAAGGAACUGAUGGGCUAGGCUCACAGGCCGAAGGAAUUUUCCUUGUCUUGGAUGAGACUUUUGACUUGGACUUUUGGGUUAAGGGCACCAAGGAAGAGAACCAAUGGCAGAAGUCACACGUGCAAGCAAGAUGGGAGUCUGGAGAGCCUCAGGCUAAAUCACCAGUGCUCAGCCCUCUUCUCUUUCCCCAGUAGGGGCCUUGCCUCUCCAGUGUACCCGGCUUUUGAAGGACCUUGUCUCCAUGUUUCCAUUGUUGAUGGAAGGACCGUGGCAGGACUUUGCUUUCCAGUGCCACUAUUAUGUCAGCAGGCUAGCCCUGAACCCCACAUGAACCGAAGAAAGAGAAGGAGAAAUGGAUGAAUCGAUGGACCGUAUCACCCUGGCACCUAUAUCAGCUCAAAAACUGAAGGAAAUACCCCUUUCCUGCCCUCUCUUUGACUAAUGCUGUAGACGCUGAGUCAGUAGUUCCUCCUGGGACCUGAGAGUCCACGUUCCUAAUGAGCUCCAGGUGUUCCCAUGCGGCUGCCCCUCUGACCACACUUAGAAUUGGAAGGCUUGAAAUGAAAUCUGAGAAAUCAGCCUCUUGAUUCCAAUUUUAAACAUGCAAUUGAUUCUUGUAAUUUUUCAUUCUUGUCGAAAUGCAUACCAGUAAGUUUGUAAUCAGUAUUGGCAUGCUUAAAAGAGUUUAAGACUUGCUAUAUUUGUCAUUUUAAUGUAUUUAAACUUUAAAGAUUUGUUCAGAACUUGGAAAGAUUUUGCUUGUUAAGCUCAUAAAUUUACCCACUCAGGCAUAUGAGAUAGGGUACUUUGAUUUAUAAAUGAAGUUUAAAAUUAAAGGAAUUUAAUUAACUAAGUUUUUAAAAUGAGAUUGGUUGUUUUAAGGGGAAUUUACUUUGUGUAACUUGAGUUGAUCAAACACUAAUCCAAGUUCCCUGCAAAACCUGUUCUGCUUUAUAUAACAUUUACUCAUUUUAGAAAUAGAUGAGAAGAUUUGCAAAUUGAACCUAAAGAUUUAGGGCAAAUUAUGUACCUUUUUAUACUUUAAUAAAGAAAAAUAAAAUAAGUUUAAAACACAAAUAACUCUAACUGGCCCUUUUUAUGUAAAAAGAAGUACUUGAAUAAAAUUUACCUUGACAGCACUAG